CUGACGGAGCACGCCGCGUGAGUGAUGAAGGCUUUCGGGUCGUAAAACUCUGUUGUUAGGGAAGAACAAGUGCUAGUUGAAUAAGCUGGCACCUUGACGGUACCUAACCAGAAAGCCACGGCUAACUACGUGCCAGCAGCCGCGGUAAUACGUAGGUGGCAAGCGUUAUCCGGAAUUAUUGGGCGUAAAGCGCGCGCAGGUGGUUUCUUAAGUCUGAUGUGAAAGCCCACGGCUCAACCGUGGAGGGUCAUUGGAAACUGGGAGACUUGAGUGCAGAAGAGGAAAGUGGAAUUCCAUGUGUAGCGGUGAAAUGCGUAGAGAUAUGGAGGAACACCAGUGGCGAAGGCGACUUUCUGGUCUGUAACUGACACUGAGGCGCGAAAGCGUGGGGAGCAAACAGGAUUAGAUACCCUGGUAGUCCACGCCGUAAACGAUGAGUGCUAAGUGUUAGAGGGUUUCCGCCCUUUAGUGCUGAAGUUAACGCAUUAAGCACUCCGCCUGGGGAGUACGGCCGCAAGGCUGAAACUCAAGAAA
rnacentral:rRNA from 1 species